GAUGAACGCUGGCGGCGUGCCUAACACAUGCAAGUCGAACGGGUGUGGUAUCAGGGAAAAGGGGUUUACUUCUUUGACCAGAUAACACACUAGUGGCGGACGGGUGAGUAACGCGUGGAUAACCUGCCUUAUACAGGGGGAUAACAGGGAGAAAUUCUUGCUAAUACCCCAUAGGUAUGUCUGACGCAUGUUGGACAUAUUAAAGCUUUGGCGGUAUAAGAUGGGUCCGCGUCUGAUUAGCUAGUUGGUGGGGUAAAGGCCCACCAAGGCGACGAUCAGUAGCCGGCUUGAGAGAGUGGACGGCCACAUUGGGACUGAGACACGGCCCAAACUCCUACGGGAGGCAGCAGUGGGGAAUAUUGCACAAUGGGGGAAACCCUGAUGCAGCGACGCCGCGUGAAGGAAGAAGGUCUUCGGAUCGUAAACUUCUAUCAGCAGGGAAGAAGGAAGUGACAGUACCUGAGUAAGAAGCCCCGGCUAACUACGUGCCAGCAGCCGCGGUAAAAGUC
rnacentral:rRNA from 1 species